UUUAGUUAUUGUGGCUGAGUUUUGUACAUGAUUUAUUGUUCUUUUGUCAUAUCACCAAUGAUAUCGUGUAACUAAAUCGAGUGGCAGAUAUUGUCGGUCUCACAUUCAUGAGUAUUCGUUUUGCUAAACCGAUCAAACUUUUAAUAUUAUUUUAAUAAAGAUUUCAAGAUAUCUAAAAAAUUAUAGAUUAAAAAAAAAGUGAUCCCCUACUGUGGGAUAACAUUUUUCUGUUCUUUGUAUUUCCAUAUUCAUCGAAUGAAUCGAUCGCACUGAUAUCGCCAGCUGAAGAAAAGUAGUUUCGUUUUUGUAAAGGCGGUGUAUCUAUUAUCUGGCACCCAAGAUAAAUGAGUUUAAUGAUGAACACUACUACUUCAGUUGUUUUUAUAAACGGUGAUAUCCCCACAAAAUUAAAAGUUUCUAAUAUUUUAUUAAAAAAAGAUUGCAAAAUAAACAAAUGACAGUAAGUAAAAAUCAUCAGUUACGACCAGUUAAAUCUGUAAUUGAGGAUAAACUAUCAUACGAGAGUUAGUGGACACAAAAGGCAGAAUGACCGUUCUGAUCACGUGACACAGUUGGCUCCAAAUAAGUGGGUUUUUCUGUCGGAGAUUACCGAAACGAUAAAAAUAAAAUGUUUUUAUUGCUAAAAUAAAAUAUACCUUUUAUUGUGGGUAUCCAACAUACAAAUGGAUACUGGUAUGGGACACAACAGAGGCUGUUAAAAAAUAGUGUUAAAUUACGUUACGGUAACGCGUAAUCUGAUGAAAUAUUUCGUCAGUUGCGUUUCCGUACACAACGCGGCUUGUUUCCUUUGAUGUCCAGUGUGCUGUGCAAACUGAUCGAUGUUUUUCAGUGUGUGAAAAAAGUGUGCAUUUUGAAAUAGCGGGGUUGGGUGCUGUAAAAUAUAAUAAGAUGCAAAAAAAAAAAAAAAAAAAAAAAAAAAAAUAAUAAUAAAGAGGGGCGCUGACAAAUAAAAAGGGGCGGCAAAACGCAAUACAUUGUACUUAUUAAUUUUGCUUGACACCAAAUAGCAGGGCCGUAGCUAGGAUUUUUUGUUGGGGUGGGGGAAACUGAGAAGUUAUAGUCUAAAACUUCUUAAACGGUUAAGAAGAGAGUUUUCUUUAAGUUUCUAUAAUGUGUAUUUUUGUGCUGGCGUGUCGUUAAAACAUUCAUUAAUUCAUUAAAACAAGCCUGCCCACAUUUAGGAUAUUGUAUUUUAGGUCCAACCUAUCUUACGCAUCCACCAAUUUCAAUAUUUACGCCUCGUACCUCGUGCGACUAUAAGGGUAAGACGUACCAAGAGGGCGAGUCGUACCACCCCAACCCCUGUGAGGUCUGCCGCUGCCACCAGACUCUGAUGACGUGUUUGGCUCACCCCUGUCCCCCUCCGCACUGCAGAGACCCCGUUCACAAACUUGGGCAGUGCUGUCCUGUCUGUCCUAGAGGUCCUGACAUUCUAGGCUGAUCCUGAAGUACAUACUAUUUCUGAAGGGCGGACAGCAAUGGACAUUGUGAACUGUGUGUACAGAUCGAUACCAUAGACUAAACAUGUGCCUCAGAUAUGUUAAUGACAUCUCUGUAUAUUACUAUAUCGUUUAAUAAAUUAACUAACAAUAGACACUUGACGCGUAGAAACAAUAUGUUUUGCAACUCCGUGAAUAAAAGUUAACUUGA